GUCGGGAGGGCGAGGAAUAAAAUACCCGCAAGGGAAAUAACUCCGCCUGGACUUGUGCAGGUUUCGAACCUCCCGGCACCCUUCU
rnacentral:ncRNA from 15 species